rnacentral:sRNA from 1 species
GCUGGGCACAGAGGGCUGUUCCUGUAAUUCCAGCAACUUGGAAGACUGAGGCAGGAGGAUUGCAAGUUUGAGGCCAGCCCAGGCAAUUUAGCAAGCCCCUGUCUCAA